rnacentral:lncRNA from 1 species
UCUACCAUCUACAUUAUGAAUACAGUCCCUGAUAGUCUACCAUCUACCAUCUACAUUAUGAAUACAGUCCCUGAGAGUCUACCAUCUACAUUAUGAAUACAGUCCCUGGUAGUCUACCAUCUACCAUCUACAUUAUGAAUAUAGUCCCUGAUAAGUCUACCAUCUACCAUCUACAUUAUGAAUACAGUCCCUGAGAGUCUACCAUCUACCAUCUACAUUAUGAAUACAGUCCCUGAGAGUCUACCAUCUACCAUCUACAUUAUGAAUACAGUCCCUGAUAGUCUACCAUCUACAUUAUGAAUAUAGUCCCUGAUAAUCUACCAUCUACAUUAUGAAUACAGUCCCUGAUAGUCUACCAUCUACCAUCUACAUUAUGAAUACAGUCCCUGAUAGUCUACCAUCUACAUUAUGAAUACAGUCCCUGAGAGUCUACCAUCUACCAUCUACAUUAUGAAUACAGUCCCUGAUAAUCUACCAUCUACAUUAUGAAUACAGUCCCUGAUAGUCUACCAUCUACAUUAUGAAUACAGUCCCUUGAUA